rnacentral:lncRNA from 1 species
AAACCAUAUCCUGCAAAAAGGGAAACAUGAGAAAAAUGUGCAGGAAGUUUAAAAUAGCUCAAUAUAUUGGGGAACUGCAUUGGUCAUAUGGCAUAGGUUUGUUUGCAGAAGUGAACAUUCAGGAACAAGUCUUCACAGGGAGAAGUCUGAAGUCAGUCAGCCCAGCCAGUGUCCUUGAGGUGAAUCAUCUCUACCUUCUGCUCAGAAGGCUUCAAUGGCUCAUCAUCUUCUACGCUGGAGGUCGUGAAGGCAUGGAUUGUAUGGUCUCUGUAGUAGCUACUUAACUUUGCCAUUGUUGGGCAACAACAGCCAUAGACAAUACAUAAAUGAGUGAGUAUGGCUAUGUUCCAAUAAAAUUUUAUUGACAAAACAAGUAGUGGGUCAGAUUUGGCUCCUGGUUAUAGUUUGCCAACCUCUGUUCUAUGUUACUAGCUCCAAGCUCCUCAGCUUAGAAUUCAAGGCCCCUCAUUUAGCCCUUACUUACCUCUUUAGCCUCAUAUACUACCAUUGCUUGCUUUUCACCUUCCCUGCCCCUCCACUUAGAACCCAGAGAUAUACAACUGG